AGCAGCCGCGGUAAUUCCAGCUCCAAUAGCGUAUAUUAAAGUUGUUGCAGUUAAAAGCUCGUAGUUGAACUUCGGGGUUUACCCAUUGGUCAGGCUUAAUUGUCUGCACUGGUGAGAUGAAUCUCUACCUUCUGAGGAACUUUCAUGCCAUUUAUUUGGUGUGAUGGGAAAUCAGGACUGUUACUUUGAAAAAAUUAGAGUGUUUAAAGCAGGCUAACGUCUGAAUACAUUAGCAUGGAAUAAUGAAAUAGGACGGACUGAUUCUAUUUCGUUGGUUUCUAGGAUCACCGUAAUGAUUAAUAGGGAUAGUUGGGGGCAUUAGUAUUCAAUUGUCAGAGGUGAAAUUCUUGGAUUUAUUGAAGACUAACUACUGCGAAAGCAUUUGCCAAGGAUGUUUUCAUUAAUCAAGAACGAAAGUUAGGGGAUCGAAGACGAUCAGAUACCGUCGUAGUCUUAACCAUAAACUAUGCCGACUAGGGAUCGGACGAAGUUAAUUUUAUAAUGACGCGUUCGGCACCUUACGGGAAACCAAAGUGUUUGGGUU
rnacentral:rRNA from 1 species